rnacentral:lncRNA from 1 species
AUACUCUAUAGUGAACUCAUUAUUUCUUACUUGCAGUUGAAGUGGUGUGCUUGGGUUGCGCUAUACUGCUCCUGCAUCAGCUUUGCCAACUCGAGAGUCAAUGACGAUACGAAACAAAUGCUCAGCAGCUUCAUGUUGUCCAUUUCUGCAGUUGUGAUGUCCUACCUUCAAAACCCACAGCCAAUGACACCUCCAUGGUCCAAUAUAUAAACAGUUCUAUAUUAUCGAUUGUUUUUGGUUGAAUGGAAAUGUAUAAUUGCCUCACCAUACUUGUAUUAAAAUUGUACUGCUGAAUGACAGUGACAAUUUUAGUUUUAAUAAACUAGCUAAUGGUGCCAGGUUUGUAUUAUGAUGUGCAAUAUGGAACAGUGCCAACAUUUGAUGAUGUGCAUGAGUUACAAAAUGGCUUGGUUUGUUAAUCUUUUAAUUUGUGUAGCCUGCACUAUAUAAUUCUUGUGUUAUACUUCCCAUCCAAAAGUUUCUUGUAAGCAGCUUGUCUUUUUUUUCUUUAACAAAUGGACAAAUUUGUAUUGUCCCAUAACAUUAUCAUGUCAUUCAUGCCAGUGUAAAAGGCAAUAGCAUGAAGGUCAAAGCUUGAAAUAUCCUGGAAUAUGAAGUACCAUACGAGUUGAUCCUCGAGUGACAACCACAUUAGUACAGUAGAUAGCCUCCAUAUUAGACAUAAAAGGAAGACUUGAUCACCACGUUAGAAAUAGAAGAGUGAAAGGGAAUUGGGAGUGGAAUGGUAGGCAGUCAGUAUGGGGGAAGGGAGACUUUUGGAGUACAGUACUGUCCAUUCAGUAGAGCCAGGCUGUCACCUGAUCGGAUGACAGGCAAAGUUAUCAGUCACUAGCACUGAUUUUAUAGUUUUCUUCGAGGUGACAUCAACUGCAUAAUAUCUUUUUGAUCAUGAAAUUACAUUAACUCCAACCAGUUACUGCUGGCUAAUAAUUCUUAGACAUAAAGGAAAGAGGACAAAUCAGAAGAGCAUGUUAAGAUAGGGCUACCUGAAUAGGUUUCAGUUGUGGUUACUUCAUCAGAGGGGCGUUCAGGGAGAUAAAAACAGAUUCUACAGUAAAUUGUUAAUUCCUCUUUUAGGACUGCCUCCUCUUCCAUUUUGCUUAGUUAUGCAAAGUAGUUGUUUUAUGGUUACAAAGGAAACAUAUCAUUCCUUAAUUUCUUAUUUUGACUGUAUCAGAAUUUAGAAUUUCUAAAAUAUAGUUACAGGUUGUAAGUACAGUAUGUAUAACAGUUUAUACAGUACUAUACUUAGUGUAUAAAACAUAUAUAUUAAUGCAGGCCAUAUGUAUUAUUGUUAAAUAUGUACUUUUGUAUUUCAUAGUAAACCUUUUACCAUAAUAUAUAAUUAUCUUCUCCUUUCAAUAGUGCAUUUGUCAUGUUGAAUUAUAUGGUAUAUCAGGAUUUUAUCGGUACUACCUUGUUGACUGCGUGUUCCUCCCGUUACUAUACUGUAUACAGUAUCUCUCCUUCCCAUUACAGUAUUACGCUGAGAUGUAUCAGUAAGGUGGUUGGGCUCACUGGCUCAAGCAAAGAAUAUUCACUAUACAAUACUAUAUUGAAUAUAAAUUCAGUGGAUUUUGUACUACAUGGGAACCUGGUCCAAGAUAGGGAUUUUAAUCUAGCCAGUGACCUGUACAAUGAAUUUGGCAUCUAGAUAAUGCAGAAUUCCUCCAAGACUGAUAAUUUUAAAUUAAUAUUACUAAAAAAUUCAAACAGUGCUUUUUCCAUGGGAUUUCUGCAUCAAAUUAUGCACAAAUGUAUGUCCUAUCAUGUGCACAAAUAAAGGGUGAAUGCUGUGGAUCUUGUUGUCCAUUAAAAUCUGUACAAUAAAGCUUUCAGUCACAUGCCAUCCCUAAGGUG